UGUAUUUAUUACAAACCCUAA
rnacentral:piRNA from 1 species